rnacentral:rRNA from 1 species
UACGUAGGUGGCAAGCGUUGUCCGGAUUUAUUGGGUUUAAAGGGUGCGUAGGCGGUCCUAUAAGUCAGUUGUGAAAUACGGCAGCUUAACUGUCGAGGUGCAAUUGAUACUGCAGGACUUGAGUACAGACGAGGUAGGCGGAAUUGACGGUGUAGCGGUGAAAUGCUUAGAUAUCGUCAAGAACACCGAUAGCGAAGGCAGCUUACUAGACUGUAACUGACGCUGAUGCACGAAAGUGUGGGGAUCGAAACAGGAUUAGAUAACCCCGGUCAG